GGGUGGGGGUGGGGAAGAAGGGCUAGGGAUGCCGGGGGCCACUCCUGCGUGGUGCGAGUGGGAGCGCGCGCCUGGCUGUGUGUUGUUAGCUGAUAUCUAUGGUAGCCGCAGCGGCAGGGUCCGUGCUCGUGCGAGUGUAUGUGUGAGUGUGUGUGUGUGUGCGUACUAGUUGUACAGUACUGGCAGCAGGGGAGGUGGCUGAGGAGGAGGGCGCCGGCUGGAGGGGAGGAGGGGCGCGCGCGCGCCGGUGGGGAGCCGCUCGCCGCCGUCUCGGCUCCCUCCCUCCGCAGCUUGACCCGGUAGUGAAGGCGGAGAGAGAGGCAGGCUGGGUCCGCCUGGCAGCCUGCGAGAGGAGGCGGGAGUGGGAAAGGAGGGGAACCGAGGCCCGGCGUGGGGAGGCCGGCAGGAAGGCUGUGAGCCCAGUGCGGACCUUUCUUCAGCCUGUGCGCGGCCGAGCGGUGUGCCGGGAUAUCCCGAGCGUUUGAGGGCGCCCGGAGUUUCUCAGACCGAGGCUCGGCUCGAGCAGAAAUAGCGAGACCCGGGCGCGUGGCGCACCCCAGUGCCCGGGGCUGCGGCCCGAGCGCGGCGAGGCUCCAGGCACGGGAUCCUGCCGUGAGGACGCCGGGCGGGCGGCCGGGACCCGGCAUGGACUGCGGGAACAGGCCGGGAGCCGGGGGAGGCGUAGGAGUUCACUGUGUAGAGCGGCUUUGUCUCCACGUUUCAGUCAAACUCCCUGCGGAGUUCUCAGAAUUCCCCCUGCGAGGAGCGGAAAGUUAGAAAACUGCAGGCUGGGCGCGCUGCCAGAGAGCGAGGCGGGCGAAGCCGCAGCACAGGCCCGGGGCAGGCCCAGCGGGGGUCAGACCGGGCGCACUUGGCGGAGGGGCGGAGUUGUGGUGAAAGGCAAUCUCGCGGCGGCGGGGAAGGGGCUUCGCUUCUUGUUGGGAAAAGCGGAAAUACUGGGGCUUUAGGGUAAGGGGCGGGGGCAGUUGCAGUGAGCAUCCUCCUCAGAGAAAUGGUCAGGGCCAAAACCAGAGAACUGCGGCCGAGGUGGCCGGGCCACGCCCUCGCCCCGGAGAGCCCUCAGACCCGGCUGCUACCCCGGGAAGGAACCUUAAGAUGACCCGACCCGACCCGACAGCCACCUGCUGUAAAGAAAGAAAAGAAAGCUCCGACGGUGAACGUGGCGGCAGAAUCGAGGCUGAACCCAGCUCGCUGGCUCACAACCAGGCCCCCUUCCCUUCACCAAGAUUGCAGCCCGGAAGAGCCUACAGCACAAAUGAAGAGGGAGAAGUCAUCUUGCCUCUGUGAUUAGAUAAGCAUGAAGAUAAAGCUCCCCUGUGAGGAUGAUGAAGCAAAAUGGUAGAAGGGGCCUAGACUCCCUUCCUUCAGACAUCUUGUUGUGGGGAAAAUAAAAUACUAUUACAAGGUUAAGCUACA